CCCUCCCGUCCCGGUGUCAGCGCUGCGCGGGGACCAGAGGGUG
rnacentral:pre_miRNA from 1 species